AUACUGCAUGUCGAGCGGACAGAUGGGAGCUUGCUCCCUGAUGUUAGCGGCGGACGGGUGAGUAACACGUGGGUAACCUGCCUGUAAGACUGGCAUAACUCCGGGAAACCGGGGCUAAUACCGGAUGCUUGUUUGAACCGCAUGGUUCAAACAUAAAAGGUGGCUUCGGCUACCACUUACAGAUGGACCCGCGGCGCAUUAGCUAGUUGGUGAGGUAAUGGCUCACCAAGGCAACGAUGCGUAGCCGACCUGAGAGGGUGAUCGGCCAAACUGGGACUGAGACACGGCCCAGACUCCUACGGGAGGCAGCAGUAGGGAAUCUUCCGCAAUGGACGAAAGUCUGACGGAGCAACGCCGCGUGAGUGAUGAAGGUUUUCGGAUCGUAAAGCUCUGUUGUUAGGGAAGAACAAGUACCGUUCGAAUAGGGCGGUACCUUGACGGUACCUAACCAGAAAGCCACGGCUAACUACGUGCCAGCAGCCGCGGUAAUACGUAGGUGGCAAGCGUUGUCCGGAAUUAUUGGGCGUAAAGGGCUCGCAGGCGGUUCCUUAAGUCUGAUGUGAAAGCCCCCGGCUCAACCGGGGAGGGUCAUUGGAAACUGGGGAACUUGAGUGCAGAAGAGGAGAGUGGAAUUCCACGUGUAGCGGUGAAAUGCGUAGAGAUGUGGAGGAACACCAGUGGCGAAGGCGACUCUCUGGUCUGUAACUGACGCUGAGGAGCGAAAGCGUGGGGAGCGAACAGGAUUAGAUACCCUGGUAGUCCACGCCGUAACGAUGAGUGCUAGUGGUUAGGGGCUUUCCGCCCCCUUAGUGCUGCAGCUACGCAUAGCACUCCGCUGGCGGAGUACGGGUCGCAGACUGAAACUCAAAGGAAUUGA
rnacentral:rRNA from 1 species